rnacentral:rRNA from 1 species
UACGGAGGAGGCAAGCGUUAUCCGGAAUUAUUGGGCGUAAAGAGCUCGUAGGCGGUGUGUCGCGUCGGCCGUGAAAACCUGCAGCUUAACUGUGGGCUUGCGGUCGAUACGGGCAUCACUGGAGUUCGGCAGGGGAGACUGGAAUUCCUGGUGUAGCGGUGAAAUGCGCAGAUAUCAGGAGGAACACCGGUGGCGAAGGCGGGUCUCUGGGCCGAUACUGACGCUGAGGAGCGAAAGCGUGGGGAGCGAACAGG